CAGCCGCCACGGUAAUACGAGGGGUGCAAGCGUUAUUCGGAUUGAUUGGGUGUAAAGGGUGUGCAGACGGCUUAUUAAGUCAUUUGUUAAAUUCUUCGGCCUAACUGAAGGUCUGCAAGUGAUACUGAUGAGCUAGAGGGUGGAAGAGAGAAGUGGGAUUCUCGGAGUAGCGGUAAAAUGCGUAGAUCUCGAGAGGAACACCAAUGGCGAAGGCAGCUUCUUGGUCCAUUCCUGACGUUCAUACACGAAAGCGUGGGGAGCAAACAGGAUUAGAUACCCCCGUAGUCCCUGUCUCUUAUAC
rnacentral:rRNA from 1 species